GACCCCGUAGCUCAGCGGUAGAGCGUGAGAUUCCAGUGGACCCAAUCAUUGUUGCAGUUCUCGAAUCCUCAAGGUCAUCCGUUCAAUCCGGGUCGGGGUCA